rnacentral:pre_miRNA from 1 species
AUAAACCUGCAAACUACUGUUUAAUCAUAAAUGGAUGUCUAAGCUUUUGUUCACGUCAAUCUGAGUAAAAGUUUUAGUCGCAAAUUUGACCUGCGAGUAAAAUUAUACUCAGUGGUGUGGACAAACCCCCAACGUCCACUUUUGGAUCUAACGUUUGUUUCCAGGUUUAU